rnacentral:rRNA from 1 species
CCUACGGGCGGCAGCAGUGGGGAAUAUUGCACAAUGGGGGAAACCCUGAUGCAGCGACGCCGCGUGAGUGAAGAAGUAUUUCGGUACGUAAAGCCCUAUCAGCAGGGAAGAAAAUGACGGUACCUGACUAAGAAGCCCCGGCUAACUACGUGCCAGCAGCCGCGGUAAUACGUAGGGGGCAAGCGUUAUCCGGAUUUACUGGGUGUAAAGGGAGCGUAGACGGCAGCGCAAGUCUGGAGUGAAAUCCCAUGGCUUAACCAUGGAACUGCUUUGGAAACUGUGCAGCUAGAGUGCAGGAGAGGUAAGCGGAAUUCCUAGUGGAGCGGUGAAAUGCGUAGAUAUUAGGAGGAACACCAGUGGCGAAGGCGGCUUACUGGACUGUAACUGACGUUGAGGCUCGAAAGCGUGGGGAGCAAACAGGAUUAGAUACCCUAGUAGUC